rnacentral:lncRNA from 1 species
GCACUGAGACCGGUGAUAUUGGUCUGACCCUCUGCAGUGUCCUGAGGGGAGGGCUUGCUUACCCACUCCAAGUCUGUGAGUCCUAAUGAAGCAAGGCUAAGUCCGCUGAAGACCACCCUUGAGAGACUUUCAAAUCCUGGAGUGGCUGCUCCCUGAAGAGAGUCCUGGUCCUAGGAAUCUGGGAUUCUACCUGAAGUCACAAAGAUGAACAGAACAAACGGUAGAGCCCUGGAGAGAGGCAUCUGAGUGAGCCUGCUUUCUAACCAACUUCUCAGAACUGCCUGCCGCUGGGCUGCCGAACAGAAGUUCAAGUUCUGGGAUUCCACCCUUGAAGAGAAAUGAAUCUGCACUUAGUGAGCCCUCACCCUGUAGGUCAGGACAUGUAGUUCUUGCUAUCCUGAAACUCACUAUGUACAACAGACUGGUCUCGAACACACUGAGAUCUGCCUGGUUCUGUCUCCCCGGUGGUGAGAUCAAAGCACGAGUAGAAUUAGGAUACAGGACUUUUAUUUAUAUGUUAUGAC